AUUGAACGCUGGCGGCAGGCCUAACACAUGCAAGUCGAGCGAGCGGCGGACGGGUGAGUAAUGUAUGGGGACUGCCCGAUAGAGGGGGAUAACUACUGGAAACGGUGGCUAAUACCGCAUACUAUCGGAUAACCCAUAUGGGAUUGGCUAGUAGGUGGGGUAAAGGCUCACCUAGGCGACGAUAUCUCGCUGGUCUGAGAGGAUGAUCCGGCCAACUGGGAAGUAGACAAGGCCCAGAAUCCUACGGAGGCAGCAGUGGGGAAUAUUGCACAAUGGGCGGAAGCCUGAUGCAGCAAUGCCGGGGGUAUGAAGAAGGCCUUAGGGUUGGAAAGUACUUUCAGCGAGGAGGCGUUACCCGCAGAAGAAGCACCGGCUAAAUCCGUGCCAGCAGCCGCGGUAAUUCC
rnacentral:rRNA from 1 species